ACAUGGAUAAACAAAUUCAAUUACAAAGUAAAGUGUUAAGUGUAAGAAAAUUAUUGUAAAAAUGACUGAAUUGUAAAGCUUAUAAAAGUUAAAUAAUGUUAAAUAAUGUGUGAAAAUGAAAGUGGUUAUAUGAAAGUGAAUAAGUGUAUAACUUUAAUACUUUGUAAACUACACUUUAAUACUUUGUAAACUAAUAUUUAUGUUAAUAAGGACCGCAUAAAUAAGUGUGUAAGAUUUUAAAUGUAAUGGGAUGAUAAGUGAAAGUGAUAAUAAAGUCAUUAAUAAUGCCCAUGUAGGCAAGAUUAAAUCUUGUAGUUAAUUAAAAACAAAGCACUUUGGUGCAUAAUAGAGAAAGUGGUAUCGCAAUACAAAAUAGAGAAAGUGAUAAAAGCACAUCAACGCAUAAUAGUAAAAAUGGGACUUCGAUACAAACCAGUCUUAAUGCACUUCGGUGCAUAGCGAUAAUGGCACUACAAUGCAUAUUAGUGGUUUUUUUUACUUCAGUAGAUUACAGUGUUUAAGCACAUUUGUGCUAGUUAUUCAGUGUUAUAUUGUAUAUCCUACUCGCUUAGCCAAGUCUAUAGUGGGUCUUUAUAAGGUAAUAAGUGAAAUUGAUAGUGAAACGAUAAGCUAAAAUGUGUAAGAAUGUAUAUGAAAUCUAAUGUUGAAUGUUGAUUUAAUUUUAAUUCAUUAUGUUAACCUAAUGAUAAUUUUACAUGUUAAAUUUAAAUAUAUUCAAAUAAUUUUGAAUUCUUGAGUACUUACUAUGUUAUAAAUGGUUUAACGCAUUGUUUCUAACGCAUAAGCUGAAGUUCAUUUGGAGUAACUAGUCUCUAUCACAUCUCAUCACACUUCAAGAACUUGGAAAUAGUAUGAUAAUUUAUUUUAGUAAUAGGCAAUGGCAUGUACAUAAGCUAAUUUAAAGUUUCUACAUAAGGGUGAAUUUAGAUGGCCAGUGUGUUUACUUAAGGUUAGUGUAAAAAUAACGGUGAAGUAAAAUUAGAUACUGUAGUGAUACUAUAGUGUGAGACAAAAAAUAAGCUAAAUGCACCACACCCCACCACCUAUUCAAAUCCACCCUAAGUUUCCUAGUAAUGACAUUUAACUAAACUUACAUCUUUUGAUAGUAUCCUGAACUUUGGUAAAAACAUACAUCUGCCGUGUGAUGUUUUAGAUGUUAAUUCGAUUUAUUUUACUGUUUAUAAGUGUUUAUUGAAGUUUGGGGUUGAUUGGCGGCCAACGAGGUACAUUUUAUGGUGAUUUCGGAUAAGUUUUGGUCUCCCCUGCAUCCAAGGUCCGAUACCUUCACUUCGGAUGCGGUACUAGCUUGGUGGAAUGCUAAAAGGAAUAGUAAUUAUACAGAGGUAUGUACCUCUACUUCUUGUUGCCCUGAUUUUGUUAUUUUAGACCCGAACAAGCCCCUAAUGGUCACGAUUGACCUCAUAUCGUACUGGAAGAUUAGAAUUGUUUCAAAUUACUUCUAAAGGCCUCCAUAAUGAAUAAAUAAAGUGAUAAAAUUAGAACUAGAAUAUAAUUAACUUAGUUUCCAAAUGUGGCAUUCUUUCUCCGGUUAGAGGUUCAACUAGGGUAAGAGUGCUAAAAAUAAUAGUUGGAACCAAGAAAACAUAUGAACAACUUUCCCUAAGGUGAGCGUGAUAUCAUUUCUCUUUAGUCUUCAAUGACAAUCUAGAGGGGCGUGAUACUGAGGAGAAUACCAUGCAAUCAAGACUACAUAAAAUGAGUAAAUUGGCAGCUUACAAUCAUAAGCAACUUAAAUCCAUGCACAUGUCACCUAGCUUUUUUUUUUUUACUUUUUUAAAAGUAAAGAAAGUUAAUACAUUAUGUUAAUACUUACACACUAUGUUUGAUUCGUUGUAAUAAAAUAGAAUUGUAAUGUAAUUUAAUUGUCUGGUUGAAUGGAAUAGAAUAAAACUAUAGUAACAUUCUUUUGUUUGGUUUAAUAAAAUGAUGUUGUAAUAGUAUAAAAAAAAAGUUAAAAUAACCAAAACAUCUUUAGCAAAUUUUUUUAAAUAGAUAAUUAUUGUUAUUGUAAUUAAAUUAUAGUAAAAUUAUUAAAUAUAAUUUAAUUAAAAAUAAAAAAUAAUUUUAAUAUAAUUAUUAUUAAUAUAUAAAUAACAAUAUAUAAUAUUAGUAAUAAAUUAUAAAACAAAAGAACUUUGAUAAAGCCAUCAUCUUCAUUAUCGUUUACCAUUUCCAUCUUUUUUUUCCACCAACCAUCCGCUAAAUUGCUUUUUCUUUUUUUACUUUGUUCUUAUCCCUUUCCAGAUCUUUUUCUUCUCUCUUUUCAGAAACUUUUACAAACCUAGUUUUCCGAUCAAUUUUCCCACGAGUUUAUCAUUAUUUGUUGUCGCCGACCAACUUCUUUCACUCUCCAAAAACUAUCAGAAAUAGACGUUCAUCUUCUCUCUUUGAUAAUCUAAUUAUUUUCUUCUAAAUCAACCUCUAAAAUAGCAAAUCUAAUUUUAAAGAGAAAAAAAAAUAAAAAUCCCAACUUUUCACUUCUAUGUCUCUACUGGAGAUCAUCGACCGUUUUUAGAUGAUUGCAUGUUUGUGUUUGAGGAAGAUGCUGAUUUUAUGGUCUUCUUUGUUUGCUCACAGGAGAGAUUACCUUGUAACCUGCUAUUCCUGUUGGAUUGAAAGCUGAUUUUGUAAGGUAAGAACGAGUAAUUUCCACUAAAACUCCAACUUGCAAUGGAACUGUUGUCAUCCUGUCUUGCCUAUUUGAUCAAGACUUUCCUUCCUGUCUUAGGAAAGAAAGUGUUUAGGACUAUUGACUCGGCUUGGGAAGAAGUCAAAACAUCGACAACAUAAAUAUGGAUUCUGCAGUUGGGCACUUUUAAGGACUCGAAAUGGCUCGUUAAGUUUCUUUUUUUUCCCGAUAAGUUGUGCUCUGGCAUU
rnacentral:lncRNA from 1 species